UGCUUUGGUGAAGGGAUUGAGAGAUAA
rnacentral:piRNA from 1 species